rnacentral:rRNA from 1 species
GAACGCUAGCUACAGGCUUAACACAUGCAAGUCGAGGGGAAACGAUAUUGGAAGCUUGCUUCCGAUAGGCGUCGACCGGCGCACGGGUGAGUAACGCGUAUCCAACCUGCCCACCACUUGGGGAUAACCUUGCGAAAGUAAGACUAAUACCCAAUGAUAUCUCUAGAAGACAUCUGAAAGGGAUUAAAGAUUUAUCGGUGAUGGAUGGGGAUGCGUCUGAUUAGCUUGUUGGCGGGGUAACGGCCCACCAAGGCGACGAUCAGUAGGGGUUCUGAGAGGAAGGUCCCCCACAUUGGAACUGAGACACGGUCCAAACUCCUACGGGAGGCAGCAGUGAGGAAUAUUGGUCAAUGGGCGAGAGCCUGAACCAGCCAAGUAGCGUGCAGGAUGACGGCCCUAUGGGUUGUAAACUGCUUUUAUAAGGGAAUAAAGUGAGUCUCGUGAGACUUUUUGCAUGUACCUUAUGAAUAAGGACCGGCUAAUUCCGUGCCAGCAGCCGCGGUAAUACGGAAGGUCCGGGCGUUAUCCGGAUUUAUUGGGUUUAAAGGGAGCGUAGGCCGGAGAUUAAGCGUGUUGUGAAAUGUAGAUGCUCAACAUCUGCACUGCAGCGCGAACUGGUUUCCUUGAGUACGCACAAAGUGGGCGGAAUUCGUGGUGUAGCGGUGAAAUGCUUAGAUAUCACGAAGAACUCCGAUUGUGAAGGCAGCUCACUGGAGCGCAACUGACGCUGAAGCUCGAAAGUGCGGGUAUCGAACAGGAUUAGAUACCCUGGUAGUCCGCACGGUAAACGAUGGAUGCCCGCUGUUGGUCUGAAUAGGUCAGCGGCCAAGCGAAAGCAUUAAGCAUCCCACCUGGGGAGUACGCCGGCAACGGUGCA